rnacentral:tRNA from 1 species
GAGAUAUUAGUAAAAACAUUACAUAACUUUGUCAAGGUUAAAUUAUAAGUGAGAAUCCUAUAUAUCUCU